rnacentral:sRNA from 1 species
CAGGCCCAGGAGUGAGGCGACUGAGGCGCCCAGGCUGUAAGCCAUGAGGAGGUCCACUGUCCUCCCUGUGUGGUGCACCAUGGAGGCUCAGACUCCAUCCUCAGGGCUGGCAAGAAGACAGGGUAAGACAUGAGCCUCCUGAUACAGGUGACGGGAGUGGAGCCCACAGGACUGGAUCCUCACACUGCAGGGCUGGAGGCACAGACUGACUAUUUACUAUUCUGUGGCCUGGGGGGCUGAAGGCACAGAGCUCCUUAUUAGCCAAAGUCACCCAAGUUCCCCAACCUGUAAGGAUUUCCUCAUAAUAAUGCAAGAAGAAGAGAAAAGAGAGUGUCCAUAGAAGCUUUGGGGCUCUUCCUCGAAUCAGGAGAAAGCUGGAGGUGUUCUUCCCUGGACGCCAUGGUGUUCCCUGCACUUGGGUGUGGACCAUCUUCUUCUUCUCCCUGGGCUGACUGAGAUGCUAGGUCUGACCCCACAAGGCCAGGCCGACAUUCCUGAGUGAUCACUAAGAACCAGUUUCUCAACCACCACUGGGAUUCUGGGUCCUCCUGGGCUGCUGCCUGUUCUCCUGUGACCCACCUGUGAGCAAGAAGGUCUCCUUCCUUCCUGUUGUCUCCAUCUAUUU